AUGAACGCUGGCGGCGUGCCUAAUACAUGCAAGUCGCGCGAACGGACGAGAAGCUUGCUUCUCUGAUGUUAGCGGCGGACGGGUGAGUAACACGUGGAUAACCUACCUAUAAGACUGGGAUAACUUCGGGAAACCGGAGCUAAUACCGGAUAAUAUUUUGAACCGCAUGGUUCAAAAGUAAAAGACGGUCUUGCUGUCACUUAUAGAUGGAUCCGCGCUGCAUUAGCUAGUUGGUAAGGUAACGGCUUACCAAGGCAACGAUGCAUAGCCGACCUGAGAGGGUGAUCGGCCACACUGGAACUGAGACACGGUCCAGACUCCUACGGGAGGCAGCAGUAGGGAAUCUUCCGCAAUGGGCGAAAGCCUGACGGAGCAACGCCGCGUGAGUGAUGAAGGUCUUCGGAUCGUAAAACUCUGUUAUUAGGGAAGAACAUAUGUGUAAGUAACUGUGCACAUCUUGACGGUACCUAAUCAGAAAGCCACGGCUAACUACGUG
rnacentral:rRNA from 1 species